rnacentral:rRNA from 1 species
ACACGUAGGGGGCGAGCGUUGUUCGGAAUCAUUGGGCGUAAAGGGCGUGCAGGCGGUCCUGCAAGUCCGGCGUGAAAGACCCCGGCCCAACCGGGGGGACGCGCUGGAAACUGCAGGGCUUGAGUACAGGAGGGGGUGCCGGAAUUCCAGGUGUAGGGGUGAAAUCUGUAGAUAUCUGGAAGAACACCAAUGGCGAAGGCAGGCAUCUGGCCAUGUACUGACGCUGAGACGCGAAGGUGCGGGGAGCAAACAGGUUUAGAUACCCUGGUAGUCCGCACAGUAAACGAUGUGCACCAGGUGGCGGGGGGUCGACCCCCGGUACCGUAGCUAACGCAUUAAGUGCACCGCCUGGGGAGUAUGCUCGCAAGGGUGAAACUCAAAUGAAUUGACGGGG